GCUUAACACAUGCAAGUCGAGGGGCAGCAUGAACUUAGCUUGCUAAGUUUGAUGGCGACCGGCGCACGGGUGAGUAACACGUAUCCAACCUGCCGAUGACUCGGGGAUAGCCUUUCGAAAGAAAGAUUAAUACCCGAUGGCAUAGUUCUUCCGCAUGGUAGAACUAUUAAAGAAUUUCGGUCAUCGAUGGGGAUGCGUUCCAUUAGGUUGUUGGCGGGGUAACGGCCCACCAAGCCUUCGAUGGAUAGGGGUUCUGAGAGGAAGGUCCCCCACAUUGGAACUGAGACACGGUCCAAACUCCUACGGGAGGCAGCAGUGAGGAAUAUUGGUCAAUGGACGAGAGUCUGAACCAGCCAAGUAGCGUGAAGGAUGACUGCUCUAUGGGUUGUAAACUUCUUUUAUACGGGAAUAAAGUGAGGCACGUGUGCCUUUUUGUAUGUACCGUAUGAAUAAGGAUCGGCUAACUCCGUGCCAGCAGCCGCGGUAAUACGGAGGAUCCGAGCGUUAUCCGGAUUUAUUGGGUUUAAAGGGAGCGUAGGCGGACGCUUAAGUCAGUUGUGAAAGUUUGCGGCUCAACCGUAAAAUUGCAGUUGAUACUGGGUGUCUUGAGUACAGUAGAGGCAGGCGGAAUUCGUGGUGUAGCGGUGAAAUGCUUAGAUAUCACGAAGAACUCCGAUUGCGAAGGCAGCCUGCUGGACUGUAACUGACGCUGAUGCUCGAAAGUGUGGGUAUCAAACAGGAUUAGAUACCCUGGUAGUCCACACAGUAAACGAUGAAUACUCGCUGUUUGCGAUAUACAGUAAGCGGCCAAGCGAAAGCGUUAAGUAUUCCACCUGGGGAGUACGCCGGCAACGGUGAAACUCAAAGAAAUUGACGGGGGCCCGCACAAGCGGAGGAACAUGUGGUUUAAUUCGAUGAUACGCGAGGAACCUUACCCGGGCUUGAAUUGCAACUGAAUGAUGUGGAGACAUGUCAGCCGCAAGGCAGUUGUGAAGGUGCUGCAUGGUUGUCGUCAGCUCGUGCCGUGAGGUGUCGGCUUAAGUGCCAUAACGAGCGCAACCCUUAUCGAUAGUUACCAUCAGGUUAUGCUGGGGACUCUGUCGAGACUGCCGUCGUAAGAUGUGAGGAAGGUGGGGAUGACGUCAAAUCAGCACGGCCCUUACGUCCGGGGCUACACACGUGUUAUAAUGGGGGGUACAGAAGGCAGCUACACGGCGACGUGAUGCUAAUCCCUAAAGCCUCUCUCAGUUCGGAUUGGAGUCUGCAACCCGACUCCAUGAAGCUGGAUUCGCUAGUAAUCGCGCAUCAGCCACGGCGCGGUGAAUACGUUCCCGGGCCUUGUACACACCGCCCGUCAAGCCAUGAAAGCCGGGGGUACCUGAAGUGCGUAACCGCAAGGAGCGCCCUAGGGUAAAACUGGUGAUUGGGGCUAAGUCGUA
rnacentral:rRNA from 1 species